rnacentral:rRNA from 1 species
UACGUAGGGGGCAAGCGUUGUUCGGAAUUACUGGGCGUAAAGGGCGCGUAGGCGGCACGGUAAGUCGGGAGUGAAAGCCCGGGGCUCAACCCCGGAACGUCUUUCGAAACUGCCGAGCUAGAGUGCGGAAGAGGCAACUGGAAUUCCCAGUGUAGCGGUGAAAUGCGUAGAUAUUGGGAAGAACACCUGAGGCGAAGGCGGGUUGCUGGGCCGACACUGACGCUGAUGCGCGAAGGCCAGGGGAGCGAACGGG